AGGAAUUUAGUUUAUAAAAAAUAUAAGAUUGUCAUUCUUAAGAGACUCAUGGUAAUUCCUU
rnacentral:tRNA from 1 species